rnacentral:rRNA from 1 species
UCCAGACUCCUACGGGAGGCAGCAGUGGGGAAUAUUGGACAAUGGGGGGAACCCUGACCCAGCAACGCCGCGUGAAGGAAGAAGGCUUUCGGGUUGUAAACUUCUUUUGACAGGGAAGAGCAGAAGACGGUACCUGUCGAAUAAGCCACGGCUAACUACGUGCCAGCAGCCGCGGUAAUACGUAGGGGGCAAGCGUUAUCCGGAUUUACUGGGUGUAAAGGGGGCGCAGACGGCAGCGCAAGCCAGGAGUGAAAGCCCGGGGCCCAACCCCGGGACUGCUCUUGGAACUGCGCGGCCGGAGUGCAGGAGGGGCAGGCGGAAUUCCUGGUGUAGCGGUGAAAUGCGUAGAUAUCAGGAGGAACACCGGUGGCGAAGGCGGCCUGCUGGACUGCGACUGACGUUGAGGCCCGAAAGCGUGGGGAGCAAACAGGAUUAGAUACCCCCGUAAC